rnacentral:rRNA from 1 species
GACGAACGCUGGCGGCGUGCCUAAUACAUGCAAGUAGAACGCUGAAGGAGGAGCUUGCUUCUCUGGAUGAGUUGCGAACGGGUGAGUAACGCGUAGGUAACCUGCCUGGUAGCGGGGGAUAACUAUUGGAAACGAUAGCUAAUACCGCAUAAUAGUAGAUGUUGCAUGACAUUUGCUUAAAAGGUGCAAUUUCAUCACUACCAGAUGGACCUGCGUUGUAUUAGGUAGUUGGUGGGGUAACGGCUCACCAAGGCGACGAUACAUAGCCGACCUGAGAGGGGGAGCGGCCACACUGGGAAUGGGACACCGCCCAGAACCCUACGGGAGGCAGCAGUAGGGAAUCUUCGGCAAUGGACGGAAGUCUGAACGGGCAACGCCGCGUGGGGGGAGAAGGUUUUCGGAUCGUAAAGCUCUGUUGUAAGGGAAGAAAGAGUGUGAGAGUGGAAAGUUCACACUGUGACGGUAUCUUACCAGAAAGGGACGGCUAACUACGUG